UACGUAGGUGACCAGCGUUGUCCGGAUUUACUGGGCGUAAAGAGCGCGCAGGCGGUCGUUCAAGUCGAGUGUGAAAGCCCCCGGCUCAACUGGGGAGGGUCACUCGAUACUGAUCGACUGGAAGGCAGGAGAGGGAAGCGGAAUUCCCGGUGUAGUGGUGAAAUGCGUAGAUAUCGGGAGGAACACCAGUGGCGAAGGCGGCUUCCUGGCCUGUUCUUGACGCUGAGGCGCGAAAGCUAGGGGAGCAAACGGG
rnacentral:rRNA from 1 species